GUUUCAUCAGCGGUAUAUACUAAAAUUGGAACGAUUCAGAGAAGAGUGGCAUGGCUUCAGCGCAAGGAUGACAGGCAAAAUCGUGAACCGUACCACAUUAUU